UACAGAGGGUGCAAGCGUUAAUCGGAAUUACUGGGCGUAAAGCGCGCGUAGGCGGUUUUGUAAGUCGGAUGUGAAAGCCUCGGGCUUAACCUGGGAAUUGCAUUCGAUACUGCAUAACUAGAGUACGGUAGAGGGAAGUGGAAUUUCCGGUGUAGCGGUGAAAUGCGUAGAUGUCGGAAGGAACACCAGUGGCGAAGGCGACUUCCUGGGCCAGUACUGACGCUGAGGUGCGAAAGCGUGGGGAGCAAACAGG
rnacentral:misc_RNA from 1 species